UGAACGCUAGCUACAGGCUUAACACAUGCAAGUCGAGGGGCAUCAGGAAGAAAGCUUGCUUUCUUUGCUGGCGACCGGCGCACGGGUGAGUAACACGUAUCCAACCUGCCCUUUACUCGGGGAUAGCCUUUCGAAAGAAAGAUUAAUACCCGAUGGCAUAAUGAUUCCGCAUGGUUUCAUUAUUAAAGGAUUCCGGUAAAGGAUGGGGAUGCGUUCCAUUAGGUUGUUGGUGAGGUAACGGCUCACCAAGCCUUCGAUGGAUAGGGGUUCUGAGAGGAAGGUCCCCCACAUUGGAACUGAGACACGGUCCAAACUCCUACGGGAGGCAGCAGUGAGAAAUAUUGGUCAAUGGGCGCUAGCCUGAACCAGCCAAGUAGCGUGAAGGAUGAAGGCUCUAUGGGUCGUAAACUUCUUUUAUAUAAGAAUAAAGUGCAGUAUGUAUACUGUUUUGUAUGUAUUAUAUGAAUAAGGAUCGGCUAACUCCGUGCCAGCAGCCGCGGUAAUACGGAGGAUCCGAGCGUUAUCCGGAUUUAUUGGGUUUAAAGGGAGCGUAGGUGGACUGGUAAGUCAGUUGUGAAAGUUUGCGGCUCAACCGUAAAAUUGCAGUUGAUACUGUCAGUCUUGAGUACAGUAGAGGUGGGCGGAAUUCGUGGUGUAGCGGUGAAAUGCUUAGAUAUCACGAAGAACUCCGAUUGCGAAGGCAGCUCACUGGACUGCAACUGACACUGAUGCUCGAAAGUGUGGGUAUCAAACAGGAUUAGAUACCCUGGUAGUCCACACAGUAAACGAUGAAUACUCGCUGUUUGCGAUAUACAGUAAGCGGCCAAGCGAAAGCAUUAAGUAUUCCACCUGGGGAGUACGCCGGCAACGGUGAAACUCAAAGGAAUUGACGGGGGCCCGCACAAGCGGAGGAACAUGUGGUUUAAUUCGAUGAUACGCGAGGAACCUUACCCGGGCUUAAAUUGCAGUGGAAUGAUGUGGAAACAUGUCAGUGAGCAAUCACCGCUGUGAAGGUGCUACAUGGUUGUCGUCAGCUCGUGCCGUGAGGUGUCGGCUUAAGUGCCAUAACGAGCGCAACCCUUAUCUUUAGUUACUAACAGGUUAUGCUGAGGACUCUAGAGAGACUGCCGUCGUAAGAUGUGAGGAAGGUGGGGAUGACGUCAAAUCAGCACGGCCCUUACGUCCGGGGCUACACACGUGUUACAAUGGGGGGUACAGAAGGCAGCUAGCGGGUGACCGUAUGCUAAUCCCAAAAGCCUCUCUCAGUUCGGAUCGAAGUCUGCAACCCGACUUCGUGAAGCUGGAUUCGCUAGUAAUCGCGCAUCAGCCACGGCGCGGUGAAUACGUUCCCGGGCCUUGUACACACCGCCCGUCAAGCCAUGGGAGCCGGGGGUACCUGAAGUACGUAACCGCAAGGAUCGUCCUAGGGUAAAACUGGUGACUGGGGC
rnacentral:rRNA from 1 species